AACACAUGCAAGUCGAGCGGAUGAAGGGAGCUUGCUCUCUGAUUCAGCGGCGGACGGGUGAGUAAUGCCUAGGAAUCUGCCUGGUAGUGGGGGACAACGUUUCGAAAGGAACGCUAAUACCGCAUACGUCCUACGGGAGAAAGCAGGGGACCUUCGGGCCUUGCGCUAUCAGAUGAGCCUAGGUCGGAUUAGCUAGUUGGUGAGGUAACGGCUCACCAAGGCGACGAUCCGUAACUGGUCUGAGAGGAUGAUCAGUCACACUGGAACU
rnacentral:rRNA from 1 species